rnacentral:lncRNA from 1 species
UUCAUCUACCUCAUUAAUACCUGAAAUCAUGCUAAUCACAUCGGUUAGCUCUAUUACAUAGAAGUAGAGUAAAGACAUAAGAAACUAGGCACUUUGUUCUCUAAACAUAGCUUAAAUAUGGAUAAAUUAUGGUGCUUAGGCGUAUAAAUACACCCAAGAUCAGUGUUGUGGGCCGAAAAUCAACUGGGGCAUGCCAGGGAGGUUGGGGAUCGUCCCAGUGUGGUCCGUUUAAAUAUCUAUGGACAUUUGGGCGGACAAACAGGCGAAACGACGCGAACAGGGCAUUUUGAGGCCAAAUUAAUGUGUUAUAGCCCACGGUUCCUGGGUGGGCCUAGGGUUCGGGCAUGCUGUGGGUCAAAAAUCGAUCAGGGAGAUUGGGAAGCGUCCCAGUGUGGUCUUUUGGGUAGGCGGGGCCAUUUAGGUGGUCAAACAUGCGAAACGAGGCGUUUUGAGGCCAAAUCAAUGUGUUAUACCCUACAGUUCUGGGGUCGGCCUGGGGUGCGAGCGACCAAGGAGUGCCAAGGAGGUUGGGGAGGAUCCCGGUGUGGUCCGUUUGGGUGGACGAGGCCAUUUGGGUGGUCAAACAGGCGAAAUAGCAUAAACAGGGCAUUUUCGGGCCAAAUUAUUGUACUAUAGCCCACAGUUCUGGGGGUGGGUUCGGGGUCACCUUAUAGACUAAAUGAGCCCCGAGGAAGGACCUGACCACAAGGGUUUAUUGUAUGUAGUCUCACCUUACAUUUAUGCAAAAGGCUAUUUCCAUUGAAUAUGCGGCCCCCUGUCGCAUGACAUCAACUCAACUUUUGAAUCACCUUGUAGACUAAUUGAGCUCCACGGAAGGACCUGACCACAAGGGUACAAUAGCCUCACCUUACAUUUCUGCAAAAAGGCAUUUCCACACCUUGAAUCUGCGGCUUCCUAUCACAUGACAUCAACUCAA